UAGAUGCUGCCUCACCCGCUGAGUUAGUUCUACCAUUGAGACCAUUUUCAUUUAGUUAGCCACUGUGAUCGUCACAUUAGAUAUUUUGGAGAAAACAUAAUCAAAUAUCUCCUUAAAUUUUCCUGUCAAUUGACCAGAUGAUUUUUCCUUGGCUGUUUAUAUCUAUAUUUUGUAUUUUAGAGUGAUUGUCACCAGAAUGGAGGCGGUCAGGAAGGAGCUACUGGUCUUUAUGACGCAGAAGUAUUUAAGGAUGAACCGAAAGAAAGGUUUUUCUAAGUCUCGCUGCUUGCAGCUUGCUGCUGAAAUCCUAGCUGUCGACUCCGGGCUGAAGCCUUCCUUCUUGUUUGAUUAUUGUGCAUCAAAUGCAGAACAGAUCCAGAACUAUGUCCAGGAGCUGUGGAAAACUGGGCUUCUCUCCGAACAUCUACACGUCCUCAGCAUACAAGACAACAUCUUAAUAACAAACUUGAACAGAACCAUCAGACACUUGGAACGAACACUGCAGGGAGAUGGUGUCCCAGUCAUUGAUGUUUCAUUGCACAGGAAGACCCCACAACUGGCAGAGUCCUGGGUGACACAGCAGGUCGAGGCCCAAGUGGACAUUAUUUGGAAGCACCUGAAAUCACAGGUAAUUCAUGCAGAGAUGAGCACACCAGGUGUUGUUACCACCAGUGAGAUUUUCUCACCCGAGUGGAAUCUGUGUACAGUGUUUGGGUUUCUCCUUGGCUUCCCUGCUUCAUACUGGUUUGAUUUUAACCAGAGUUUUGAGAACUGUCUGGGCAUGACUCAACUUCGGGCUUUCUCUGUCUCUGCUAUUUGUCCCAGAAUCACUGAGAACCUUAAGCAUCAGAUGUACUCAUUCAGUGUCCCCGAAAACCUUUAUUUGGAUUUACAGAGCAUGCUGGAGAUUUGGUGGAGGAAUCUACAAUCAGAUUUUAACAAGCAGUCCUCUUUCUCUGAUCUCUGCAUCGCCACAGAGGUAGUCUGCCUGCCGGGGAUUACCCUGUAAAUAUUCUGUACAACAACACGUCUUUAAUUAAAAACAUAAAUUCCCCCUUAAUAAAGAUAGACUCGGCUUGUACUCGCUAGAAUUUAGUUUGAUGGGGGAUCUUAUAGAAACGUACAAAAUUCUUAAGGGGUUGGACAGGCUAGAUGCAGGAAGAUUGUUCCCGAUGUUGGGGAAGUCCAGAACAAGGGGUCACAGUUUAAGGAUAAGGGGGAAAUCUUUCAGGACCGAGAUGAGGAAAAACAUUUUUCACACAGAGAGUGGUGAAUCUCUGGAAUUCUCUGCCGCAGAAGGAAGUUGAGGCCAGUUCAUUGGCUGUAUUUAAGAGGGAGUUAGAUGUGGCCCUUGUGGCUAAAGGGAUCAGGGGGUAUGGAGAGAAGGCAGGUACAGGAUACGGAGUUGGAUGAUCAGCCAUGAUCAUAUUGAAUGGCGGUGCAGGCUCGAAGGGCGAAUGGCCUACUCCUGCACCUAUUGUCUAUGUUUCUAACUGCAUGCAGAGUACAAUGAAGAAAAAUAACACCUAAAGAAAUAUUAAGGUUGCUGUUGAAACGUGGUCAUAGAAUCAUAGAGUGAUACACCACGGAAACAGGCCCUUCAGCCCAACUUGCCCACACCGGCCAACAUGCCCCAGCUACACCAGUCCCACCUGCCUGCGCUUGGUCCCUAUCCCUCCAAACCUGUCCUAUCCAUGUACCUGUCUACUUGUUUCUUAAACGUUGGGAUAGUCCCGACAUCAACUAUCUGCUGUGGCAGCUGGUUCCAUACACCCACCACCCUUGGUGUGAAAGUUACCCCUCAGUAACCUAUUCCAGGAUGUCACUACACCCACUGCCCUAGCAAGCAAUACAUUUGUGGUUGCUUGUGUGAAAACUGCCUUCCAAGAAACCAAAGAUACAUAGCACAGGAACAGGCCCUUCAGCCCACAAUGUUUGUGCCGUACAUGAUGCCAAGUUAAUCCAAUCGCCUCUGCCUCCACUUCCAUGUGCCUGUCUAAAAGCCUCUUAAAGGACGAGCCUUCCCAGUUUUCUUUCUUCAUCUCCUCUCUUGCAGCCGAGUGAUUUAUCUUCAUCCAAAUCACACCUGACAUUUUGGGCAGUUUGGAAAACAUCCACUGACCAACAGCAAGUGAAAGCGAAUGAAACUGAGAUGGGCUUGUCAGCCCAGAACCACUCCUACACCACACCUUCACAAGAGUCCAUCUGAAGAAGGGUCUUGACCGAAACAUCCUCCAUUCCUCCUCUCCUUCCCGCCUGUCCCGUUGAGUUACUCCAGCAUUUUGUGUCUAUCAUCGCAAAAUAAAUAUUUAUGAAAGAUUAUAAAGACAUAGCAAAUAGUUGCAGGGGUAGGCUGUUCGGCCCUUCGAGCCAGCACAGCCAUUCAAUGUAAUCAUGGCUGAUCAUCCACAAUCAGUACCCCGUUCCUGCCUUCACCCCAUAUGCCUUGAUUCCGUUAGCCCUAAGAGCUGAAUCUAACUCUCUCUUGAAAACAUCCAGUGAAUCGACCUCCACCGCCUUCUGCGGCAGAGAAUUCCACAGAUUUACAACUCUCUGGGUGAUUAUAUAGACACCAGCCAGUAUCUCAUAAAAUAUUCAUUUUAUUUGCAUCUUACAAAUAAACGUACAUGAAAUUUCAGUUGCCGUUUUUAAAGUCAGUAAAUGUUCAAUGUGAAUACUGUCACUGCUUUGUCUACUUUAACAGUGAACAUAAUCUACAGCCGUGAUAAUAUUAUUGUGAAUUUAAUCAUAUGCCGUAUUUACUGCGAGCGCAUCACUACUUUACUACUUCAAUGUGGAGAACAUGGAUAGGUGACGUUUCACAGAGUGCUGGAGUAACUCAGCAGGUCAGGCAGCAUCAGUGGAGAACAUGGAUAGGUGACGUUUAUCAGAGUGCUGGAGUAACUCAGCAGGUGCAGCAGCAUCUAUGGAGCUAAGGAAAUAGGUAACGUUUCGGGCCGAAACCCAACAGGUUUGGAGGGAUUUGGACCACACGCUGGCAGGUGGGACUAGUGUAGCUGGGGUAUUGUUGGCCAGUGUGGGCAAGUUGGGCCGAAGGGCCUGUUUCCACACUGUAUCACUCUGACUCUGUUUAAGAUUUUGACCUACACCCAGAAGUGUACAAUGUUGAAAUUGCUUUUACUGGAAGUGGUGUUUUGGCAUUUGGGUAGCAGCCUGAUCGAGCUAUUGAUUAACUAGAUAUUUGCGGUAAAUAAAACCAGUGGCCUCACUGACAAAAUAUUGAUCAGCAUCCGUUUCAAAACUAUUCCUCGCGAAUCCUCCGUCGUCUUUCACAGCCCGAGGAAAAGAUUGAGGAAUGAACAUGAAUGCACGGGUGAAAAGCAGAGACGUCAUCGUCCUGCUUUACCUGUGCGGACAGGUGAACUGCUUGUUUGUGCAGAAGCCCGGUGGCCAACAGCUUCCUGUCGCGGGUACGCAGAGCUAACGCUGGUCUGGAGGAGUUGCUAGGCAGCAACCUGGAGAGGGAAUGCUUCGAGGAGAUCUGCUC